rnacentral:misc_RNA from 1 species
AACGCAUAUUGCGCUCUUUGGUAUUCCGAAGAGCAUGCUUGUUUGAGUAUCAGUAAACACCUCAAAGCUUUUGAUUUUUUUUAAAAGUUUUGGACUUGAGCAAUCCCAACACCAGUCUUUUACAGAUCGGCGGCGGGUUGCUUGAAAUGCAGGUGCAGCUGGACAUUCUCCUGAGCUAAAAGCAUAUUUAUUUAGUCCUCGUCAAACAGGAUUAUUACUUUUGCUGCAGCUAACAUAAAGGAUAAUUGUCCUCUUUGCUGACUGAUGCAGGAUUUUACGACACUUUAUGUGUUGUUCAACUCGAUCUCAAAUCAAGUAAGACUACCCGCUGAACUUAA